UACGGGGGGGGGCAAGCGUUGUUCGGAAUUACUGGGCGUAAAGGGCGCGUAGGCGGCCUUCUAAGUCGGACGUGAAAUCCCUCGGCUUAACCGAGGAACUGCGUCCGAUACUGAAAGGCUUGAAUCCGGGAGAGGGAUGUGGAAUUCCAGGUGUAGCGGUGAAAUGCGUAGAUAUCUGGAGGAACACCGGUGGCGAAGGCGGCAUCCUGGACCGGCAUUGACGCUGAGGCGCGAAAGCCAGGGGAGCAAACGGG
rnacentral:rRNA from 1 species